rnacentral:lncRNA from 1 species
UUUUGUUUUAUUCAUUCAUUUCAGCACGAUCCGAGACCAAAAACAUCACGAAUACGAUCUGAUAUGUACCUGGCCCAAGUUUCACAUAACUUAUUCGCACAAUCCUCUUUAGUUAGCCAAAGAGAAGCUCCAUUAGUCAAGCAUCUCACCCAUACCACCCUGAAACUCCUCUCUUGAUGGCAUGCACUCCUUUACCUCCUCAGCAAUAGGCCAUAGAUUGAUCUAUCAAUUUCCGAGCUUCUUAAUUUAGCCGCCACUGUUUUUGAGUCUGCUCCAAGAUAAGCUUUGCCACGUCCAAUUCACGUGCAAGCUGAGCUGCCCAUCGAAUACACCGGACGACAUUCCAUUAUGGAAAUCUCGCAGAGAGGUGAACAUCUACAAGGCUAUAAAUCAAAACGAACAAAUCAACUAUUCAUAGAUACCAAAUUUAAGAAGCUCGCAAAUGUUACUGCUAUAAAACUGUAUAGUGCUACCCAUCUUCAUGUUGUUCCCUCCGUUCGUUCAAACUGAAAAUAAGUAGAAGAAAAUGAAAAAGAAGAAAAAAAAGAUUACAAAAUACUCCCUCCGUUCCUAAAUAUAAGUCUUUUGGAGAUUUCACUAUAGACUACAUACAGAGCAAAAUGAGCGAACAUAUACUCUAAAAGGCGUCUAUAUACAUCCGAAUCUAGUCUCUAUAGUGGAAUCUCUAAAAGGAAUUAUAUUUAGGAACAAAGGGAGUACAUGUCUCAUGCAGUCAGGAACUUCAGAUUUUGAAUAAGCUUAUGCUUGUACUCAUCUUCCAGUACUCUAUCAGGAGCCAAAGUAACUAAACAUCCUCCAUCACCUCUUGCAAAUCUCAGAACCUCCAAUCCUUGAUGCACUAAACUAACUUUCACCACAACCAGUUCUUUCCCUCAUCGCCCCGCUCGAAUGGAAAGGAGA